rnacentral:lncRNA from 1 species
UUUAGGCUGGAGACUGUUUUUUUAGAGGGACCACGUGCAUUGUUCUGUUCCCAAGUCUAUGUGCUUUUUAUCUUCUGGCCAGUGUUCAGACUUGUUGCCAGUUUCUCAUAGAACGUUUGGCAGAAAAAUGAGGAGGAAGGCACCAGGGAAACAGAAAUGGAGCAAAGUGGUGGGGAACCUGAGGCUUGGAGAUAUGAAGUUAUAUGCUCCGAUGCAGAGUUAGCAAGUGACAGAGCAAGAACUGCAAUGUAAAUGCAUCUGACACUCAAGCCUGUGUUCUUCACCAUGAGGUCCUACUGUCACCACAGUCUACACACACCUAAGAUGUGUGGGAAUUCAUGGGACCACUUCUGCUCUGACUGUUUCAGUCUUUUGCCUUGGUGUUUAAUAUUGUAUCAUGUUAUUCUCUUUUGUCUCCCAGUGUUUUGGUAUCAUGUUACUGCAACUCUGGAGGUUUUGCUGGCUGGUAGCUGGGUCACUUAGAGUCUUCAAAUGAUUCUUAUUCCUUUGGAAGCGCUUUAUAGAGCAAAGAAAGUUGGUGGAAGUGGGAAAAGAUAGGUGGCUGAUUUCCUCUCCUUGAUCUUAGGAGGACAACUGGGCUUAGGGGCCCCAGAGGAGACGGUGAGCUCAAUGGAGUAUUGUUUUAUGCUGCAUUCUGCAGGCAGGGACUACAUGCCCAGCUCACUAAGGAAGUUCCACCAUUUCUUUUUUUUUUUUUAAUUUCUUCUAAAAAAUAAAACAAAACAAAAAUGGGAUACAUGCACAGAAAAUGCAGGUUUGUUACAUAGGUGUACGUGUGUCAUGGUGGUUUGCUGCACCUAUUGACCCGUCCUUUAAGUCCUUUAAGUUCCCUCACCUCACCUCCCAUCCCCUAAUGGGCCCUGGUGUGUGUUGUUCCCCUCUCUGUGUCUAUGCGUUCUCAUUGUUCGACUCCUACUUAUAAGUGAGAACAUGCAGUGUUUGGUUUUCUGUUCCUGUGUUAGUUUGCUAAGGGUAAUGGCUUUCAGCUUCAUCUAUGUCCCUGCAAAGGGCAUGAUCUCAUUCCUUUUUAUGGCUGCAUAGUAUUCCAUGGUAUGUAUGUACCACAUUUUCUUUAUCCAGUUAAACAUUGAUGGGCAUUCGGGUUGGUUCCAUGUCUUUGCUAUUGUAAAUAGCACUGCAAUAAACAUAUGUGUGCAUCUGUCUUUAUAGUAGAAUGAUUUAUAUUCCUCUGGGUAUAUACCCAGUAAUGGGACUGCUGGGUCAAAUGGUGUUUCUGGUUCUAGAUCUUUGAGGAAUCACCAUACUUCAACCAUCCUCCACAACGGUUGAACUAAUUUACAUUCCCACCAACAGUGUAAAAGCGAUCCUAUUUCUCCACAGCCUCGCCAACACCUAUUGUUUCCUGACUUUUUAAUAAUUACCAUUCUGACUGGCAUAAGAUGGUAUCUCAUUGUGGUUUUGAUUUGUGUUUCUCUGAUAAUCAGAAACAUUGAGCUUUUUUUCAUACAUUUGUUGUCCGCAUAAACAUCAAUUUCUAUUGGAAGCACUGCUGUCUCUAAUUCUGUGGUGUUGGCUUGUGAACAUAGAUGGAAAAAAUAAUUAUACCCUUUUCACCUUCACUUUAGUGAAAUUUAACAUUCCGUUUAAUUAUAGAUGUAGAUAACAAACCAUAGUAGUAUAUGCAGGACCUAUGGCUUCGUCACCAACAGAAUUCAGAUAUUUUCAUAUCAUAUUUCUGAUGUUGUAGAUACCUUAGAAUAUCACUAUACCAAAUGCCACUUCCAAAUUAUGGUUGCUGUUAGACUUGCUGCUAGAUUUUGUAACUUAAUGAGUAUGUGUGAAUUACUAUAUCACAAUUAAACAUAUUUUGAC